UACGUAGGACCCAAGCGUUAUCCGGAUUUACUGGGCGUAAAGAGUUGCGUAGGUGGCGGUGUAAGCGGAGUGUGAAAUCGUGUGGCUCAACCAUACGGCUAUGCUCUGAACUGCACUGCUAGAAGAUGAGAGAGGUAGCUGGAAUUCCCUGUGUAGGAGUGAAAUCCGUAGAUAUAGGGAGGAACACCGAUGGCGUAGGCAGGCUACUGGCUCAUUCUUGACACUAAGGCACGAAAGCGUGGGGAGCAAACGGG
rnacentral:rRNA from 1 species